CAGUAGCCGCGGGAAUACGAAGGGGGCUAGCGUUGUUCGGAAUUACUGGGCGUAAAGCGCACGUAGGCGGAUCGAUCAGUCAGGGGUGAAAUCCCAGGGCUCAACCCUGGAACUGCCUUUGAUACUGUCGAUCUGGAGUAUGGAAGAGGUGAGUGGAAUUCCGAGUGUAGAGGUGAAAUUCGUAGAUAUUCGGAGGAACACCAGUGGCGAAGGCGGCUCACUGGUCCAUUACUGACGCUGAGGUGCGAAAGCGUGGGGAGCAAACAGGAUUAGAUACCCCUGUAGUCCCUGUCUCUUAUAC
rnacentral:rRNA from 1 species